rnacentral:rRNA from 1 species
GAUGAACGCUAGCGGGAGGCUUAACACAUGCAAGUCGAGGGGCAGCAUAGGGUAGCAAUACUCUGAUGGCGACCGGCAAACGGGUGAGUAACGCGUAUGCAACCUACCCUGUACAGGGGGAUAACCCGGAGAAAUUCGGACUAAUAUCCCGUAAUAAUAUCCGGAGGCAUCUUUGGAUAUUAAAGUUCCGACGGUACGGGAUGGGCAUGCGUAACAUUAGCUGGUUGGUAAGGUAACGGCUUACCAAGGCUAUGAUGUUUAGGGGUCCUGAGAGGGUGGUCCCCCACACUGGUACUGAGACACGGACCAGACUCCUACGGGAGGCAGCAGUGAGGAAUAUUGGUCAAUGGGCGCAAGCCUGAACCAGCCAUCCCGCGUGCAGGAAGACGGCCCUAUGGGUUGUAAACUGCUUUUCCAGGGAGAGAAACUUACGCACGUGUUGCGUGACUGACGGUACCCUGGGAAUAAGCAUCGGCUAACUCCGUG